rnacentral:rRNA from 1 species
CAGCAGCCACGGGAAUACGAAGGGGGCUAGCGUUGUCCGGAAUUAUUGGGCGUAAAGGGCUCGCAGGCGGUUUCUUAAGUCUGAUGUGAAAGCCCCCGGCUCAACCGGGGAGGGUCAUUGGAAACUGGGAAACUUGAGUGCAGAAGAGGAGAGUGGAAUUCCACGUGUAGCGGUGAAAUGCGUAGAGAUGUGGAGGAACACCAGUGGCGAAGGCGGCUCACUGGUCCAUUACUGACGCUGAGGUGCGAAAGCGUGGGGAGCAAACAGGAUUAGAGACCCCAGUAGUCCCUGUCUCUUAUAC